AUUCUACUCCCUCCGUUGCACAAUACAUGCCUUCUAUUUGUCAAAAUAUAUAUGUAUCUAGACAUGUCUUAGUAUAUAGGUACAUCCAUUUUUGGACAAAUGGAAGUCAAGUAUUUUGGAACGGAGGGAGUACAAA
rfam:Triticum aestivum genome assembly, contig: Triticum_aestivum_CS42_TGACv1_scaffold_378153_5AL